AACGAACGCUGGCGGCAUGCCUAACACAUGCAAGUCGAACGAGACCUUCGGGUCUAGUGGCGCACGGGUGCGUAACGCGUGGGAACCUGCCCUUAGGUUCGGAAUAACUCCCCGAAAGGGGUGCUAAUACCGGAUAAUGUCUUCGGACCAAAGAUUUAUCGCCUUUGGAUGGGCCCGCGUUGUAUUAGCUAGUUGGUUGGGUAAAAGCCUACCAAGGCGACGAUCCAUAGCUGGUCUGAGAGGAUGAUCAGCCACACUGGGACUGAGACACGGCCCAGACUCCUACGGGAGGCAGCAGUGGGGAAUAUUGGACAAUGGGCGAAAGCCUGAUCCAGCAAUGCCGCGUGAGUGAUGAAGGCCUUAGGGUUGUAAAGCUCUUUUACCCGGGAUGAUAAUGACAGUACCGGGAGAAUAAGCUCCGGCUACCUCCGU
rnacentral:rRNA from 1 species